UACGUAGGGCGCAAGCGUUGUCCGGAAUUAUUGGGCGUAAAGAGCUCGUAGGCGGUUUGUCGCGUCUGCUGUGAAAUCCCGAGGCUCAACCUCGGGCUUGCAGUGGGGUACGGGCAGACUAGAGUGCGGUAGGGGAGACUGGAAUUCCUGGUGUAGCGGUGAAAUGCGCAGAUAUCAGGAGGAACACCGGUGGCGAAGGCGGGUCUCUGGGCCGUAACUGACGCUGGACGACGGCGAAAGCGUGGGGAGCGAACAGG
rnacentral:rRNA from 1 species